rnacentral:misc_RNA from 1 species
AACCAUAGAAACCUGCGGAGUACCUGCGGAGGGAUCAUUAUGAAUUUGAGCAAGUUCUUUUUCUCUCUUUUUCCGAGAGAGAGAGAGAGAGCUUUCAUUUUCUGUGAACUGUUGAGGAGAGAGAGGUGGUUUGAGCAAUCGAGUCCGUCUCUCUUCUCUCUUUUUGUUAUCUUGUCUUCUAUUCCAAAUUCUUAUUUGGUUGAUUCUUUUAUCAGCUGAAUAUACAAACCAAGACAACUU